rnacentral:tRNA from 1 species
GUUCCGGUAGCUCAGGGGUAGAUGCGACAGAUUGCAACUCGCAAACAUCUGUAGGUCGCGAGUUCAAAUCUCGCCCGGAACU